UAAAUUAUUAUACUAAACAGGGGAUCUAAAAUGGUGUAUAUAUCUGACAGUUACAGAAGUAGUUAGAGAAGUUUUGCAUACGGAAAAUUUUCUUUAAACCAAUAGAAGUAAAGUAUAUAUAUUUCUCUCAUGAGGACUUUGACCAGUACGGCAACGUACCCCAUAGUUUCCUUCUGCAAAACUCCAAAUGACUUUUCACGGCUGUGUCUGCUACAGUAAUAGAGCUUCAGGCCUUCAAAUCAAACUUG
rnacentral:misc_RNA from 1 species